rfam:Coniochaeta ligniaria NRRL 30616 unplaced genomic scaffold CONLIGscaffold_13, whole genome shotgun sequence.
GGCUACGUGGCGCAAUGGUAGCGUGUGGUCCUCCUAUUCGCAAGAACAGCGAGUUCCAGACUGAGGUUGCAGGUUCGAGUCCUGCCGUGGUCG